rnacentral:rRNA from 1 species
GUAAGGAAUAUUGGUCAAUGGGCGCAAGCCUGAACCAGCCAUGCCGCGUGCAGGAAGACAGCCCUAUGGGUCGUAAACUGCUUUUAUGCCAGAAUAAACCUUUGUUCGUGAACAGAGCUGAAUGUAUGGUAAGAAUAAGGAUCGGCUAACUCCGUGCCAGCAGCCGCGGUAAUACGGAGGAUCCAAGCGUUAUCCGGAUUUAUUGGGUUUAAAGGGAGCGUAGGCGGCCUAUUAAGUCAGGGGUGAAAGACGGUGGCUCAACCAUCGCAGUGCCUUUGAUACUGAUGGGCUUGAAUGUAGUUGAGGUAGGCGGAAUGUGACAAGUAGCGGUGAAAUGCAUAGAUAUGUCACAGAACACCGAUUGCGAAGGCAGCUUACUAAGCUAUAAUUGACGCUGAGGCUCGAAAGCGUGGGGAUCAAACAGGAUUAGAAACCCUAGUAGUCC